rnacentral:rRNA from 1 species
CAUGUGGCUUAAUUUGACUCAACGCGGGAAAUCUUACCGGGUCCGGACACACUGAGGAUUGACAGGCAAUAUAUGUGACUCUUCGGAGUUUGCAUUGUUAAAUAUGCUAGUCCUUUCAUGAUUAUGUGAUAGGUGGUGCAUGGCCGUUCUUAGUUCGUGGAGUGAUCUGUCUGCUUAAUUGCGUUUCAAAUUACUUAUAAGGUAGCAAUACGCGAUGAAGCUUUCAAUAGUCCUCACGGAUUCACUUGAGUCUCUCGCUUCGCUAUCCUUUCGAAUGCAACGAACGUGACCGCAACCUCUUGUUGCCUUCGUUUAACAUCCUGCAGCUCGCUGUGGGUACUGAGGGCUUCACUCGGUGACUUUGGGCUGAGCAAUCGGUCUUUUGAUCUGAGUAAACUAGAGGGACCGCUGUCAACUUCUUAAACCAGAGGAAGGUUGCGGCAAUAACAGGUCUGUGA